rnacentral:lncRNA from 1 species
AGUUAUCCUCCGAGAGCACUUUGAUAUCCCAUGGGGGUAUUUCCAGAACUAUUAUUUUGGCUAGUCCCCUUUGAAAUGUCAUUCGCGAUUCAGGACAACAUAUGAGAGCUGUCAUUAUAUAUUUUACACUUCAGUUGAGUUAUUUUGAGCAAUUCAAAAGUAACAUGUUUUUCAUUUAACGUUCUGCGGCAUACAUAUCAUGGAUUCUAAUGAAAUAAACUGUGUUCGAGAGGACAAUUCGAUUCAACCCCAAAACAAUGAGAGUACCAUUUACUGCCCAGUUUGUUCAGAAUCAUUUUCCUGCGAGAAGACGCUGUAUAAGCAUAAGAUGACACACUCUUCGGAUUUUCGGAUAUAUGACAUGGAGCGAAAUAAUCGAAUAUUCAAAGUGCACGUGCGAAUCUAUACAUGUAAUAUAUGCGAGAAGGAAUUCCGAAACCUGACCCACUACGAAAAGCACCGAAAAAUUCGUCAUACCAAAGAGGGCUAUAUCUGUCCACACUGUAGCAAAAUAUUUAAGGAUAUAAAGUAUAUGAAAAUCCACAUGCGUACCCAUUCGGGAGAGAGGCCAUACGAGUGUGACAAGUGCACCAAAACAUUCACCCGAUCGAUCAUAUUGCGGCAGCACAUGCUAACACACCAGAAAACAGGGAACCAUAAGUGUGAAUUUUGUUCCAAGUCAUACAAACGAAUGGAAGACCUCCAUCGCCAUUAUGAAGUCCAUUGAAUUAAAAAAAAUGAUUUUCUUAAUAAUGGAAAUUUUUAUUUGAGCGCCAUACAACAAUAAUUUAAAAUGUACGCUACAUAGUAAUACACAGAUUUCAACAGCAUUAUUGAAUCUAUUC